CCCCAGAUCUCAACAGAAAUGAAUCAGCCAAAAGAAAAAGAAUGAAAAGAACCUCUAAAGACUGUUCCACUGAAAACGAAAAUUCCCUGACAAUUGAUAGAGAAGAUAUUGAAGCAGCCAACAACUUAGAUUCACCUAUUCCGAGUCAGCUAGAACAAUAUCUGAAUCAAAUUCAAAGUGACUUCAAUAUUGAUGCUGACGGGAGUGUACCUCUAGGAGAAGAAGUGAAGAAACAUGAGAGACGUAUGGGCCAAAUUGCUGUUGAUUGGGAUGUGCACUGGGAUGAAGUUGUCAAUGGCCUUAUUGCAAGCUACGCAACUAUUCCAUCACUGUGCUGGAUUUGUAAAAGUCCCUUGCAGCUUGUUACACUCGCUGUCUCUGUUGUGUCAAGACAUAUUGUCAAGACUGCGACUUCCAAUUCCAUUCAUGGAAUGUGUUCCACAGAAGACAAUUAUUGUUUCAAGAUUCCAAAGUGAUUAAACUAAAGCCUAACGAGUUUUGGGAUUCAACUUUAGCUGAGAUAGUUACAAAAGAGGUUGCAGUUCCGUGCUUCGUUCCUCUGCAAUGCCAAUCUUGUCUAAGCAUAAACUCGUUGACAAUUGAACCAUUGAAGAGUAAAUUCAUGAUAGUUGUCACACUUCUAGGAUUUUUUCCAGUACCCGCAAUCCAUUAAAAUUUCAAGAGGGAAAAUUGUCUUAAUGAACUUGGAACUUAAUCGCAUUCAAGAGAAAGUUGCCAGAGCGGUCUCACUCUUCAAGAUAUACAUUCACGGGAGCUUCAACUGUAACUCCGAUUGUGAUACUGACCGUGACUCAGACCGUGAUUGUGAUCAAGACUCCGACAGUGAAUCUCAUCAAGACUUCAACAGUGACUCUCACCAAGACUCCGACUCAGAUUCUGAUCGUGAUGUCUCUGAACCUGACCCCAUCACUG